rnacentral:misc_RNA from 1 species
AACGCACAUUGCGCCCGCCAGCAUUCUGGCGGGCAUGCCUGUCCGAGCGUCAUUUCAACCAUCAAGCCCCCCCCGGCUUGUGUUGGGGUCCUGCGGCCGCCCGCAGGCCCCGAAAUCCAGUGGCGGGCUCGCUAGCAGCACCGAGCGCAGUAGGCAAUGCACCUCGCUCAGGUGGCGCGGCGGUCCCCGGCCGUUAAAAAACCCCCACACCAAAGGUUGACCUCGGAUCAGGUAGGAAUACCCGCUGAACUUAA